CCUACGGGAGGCAGCAGUGAGGAAUAUUGGUCAAUGGACGAGAGUCUGAACCAGCCAAGUAGCGUGAAGGAUGACUGCCCUAUGGGUUGUAAACUUCUUUUAUAUGGGAAUAAAAUGUUCCACGUGUGGGUUUUUGUAUGUACCAUAUGAAUAAGGAUCGGCUAACUACGUGCCAGCAGCCGCGGUAAUACGGAGGAUCCGAGCGUUAUCCGGAUUUAUUGGGUUUAAAGGGAGCGUAGGUGGAUUGUUAAGUCAGUUGUGAAAGUUUGCGGCUCAACCGUAAAAUUGCAGUUGAAACUGGCAGUCUUGAGUACAGUAGAGGUGAGCGGAAU
rnacentral:rRNA from 1 species